GACGAACGCUGGCGGCGUGCCUAAUACAUGCAAGUUGAGCGAUGAAGAUUGGUGCUUGCACCAAUUUGAAGAGCAGCGAACGGGUGAGUAACGCGUGGGGAAUCUGCCUUUGAGCGGGGGACAACAUUUGGAAACGAAUGCUAAUACCGCAUAACAACUUUAAACAUAAGUUUUAAGUUUGAAAGAUGCAAUUGCAUCACUCAAAGAUGAUCCCGCGUUGUAUUAGCUAGUUGGUGAGGUAAAGGCUCACCAAGGCGAUGAUACAUAGCCGACCUGAGAGGGUGGUCGGCCACAUUGGGACUGGGACACGGCCCAAACUCCUACGGGAGGCAGCAGUAGGGAAUCUUCGGCAAUGGACGAAAGUCUGGCCGAGCAACGCCGCGUGAGUGAAGAAGGUUUUCGGAUCGUAAAACUCUGUUGGUAGAGAAGAACGUUGGUGAGAGUGGAAAGCUCAUCAAGUGACGGUAACUACCCAGAAAGGGACGGCUAACUACGUG
rnacentral:rRNA from 1 species